AUUGAACGCUGGCGGCAGGCCUAACACAUGCAAGUCGAGCGCGAAAGGCCUUCGGGCUGAGUAGAGCGGCGGACGGGUGAGUAACGCGUAGGAAUCUACCUGGUAGUGGGGGACAACUUGGGGAAACUCAAGCUAAUACCGCAUACGCCCCAUGGGGGAAGGCGGGGGACCUUCGGGCCUCGCGCUAUCAGAUGAGCCUGCGUAGGAUUAGCUAGUUGGUGAGGUAAAGGCUCACCAAGGCGACGAUCCUUAGCUGGUCUGAGAGGAUGAUCAGCCACACUGGGACUGAGACACGGCCCAGACUCCUACGGGAGGCAGCAGUGGGGAAUAUUGCGCAAUGGGGGCAACCCUGACGCAGCCAUGCCGCGUGUGUGAAGAAGGCCUUCGGGUUGUAAAGCACUUUAAGUGGGGAGAAAGGCCCGUUGGUUAAUAGCCAGCGGGAUUGAUGUUACCCACAGAAUAAGCACCGGCUAACUCCGUGCCAGCCGCCGCAGUAAGAC
rnacentral:rRNA from 1 species